CGCCUCUUGCCCACUAUAAGAGGUCCCGCCUGCCCUGUGACGAAAGUUUAACGGCCGCGGUAUUUUGACCGUGCGAAGGUAGCGUAAUAACUUGUCUUUUAAAUAGAGACCUGUAUGAAUGGCAUAACGAGGGCUAAGCUGUCUCCUUUUCCUAAUCAAUGAAAUUGAUCUCCCCGUGCAGAAGCGGGGAUAACUACAUAAGACGAGAAGACCCUAUGGAGCUUUAGACGCCGGGGCGGGCCCCGUCAAGAAUCCUACCGUUACUAGGAACGAACAACAGGACCCCCGCCCCCAUGUCUUUGGUUGGGGCGACCGCGGGGUAACAAGAAACCCCCACGUGGAACGGGUUAACCCCUGAUACAAGAGCCACAGCUCUAAUAGCCAGAACAUCUGACCAAAAAGAUCCGGCACCGCCGAUCAACGGAUACAGUUACCCUAGGGAUAACAGCGCAAUCCCCUUUUAGAGCCCAUAUCGACAAGGGGGUUUACGACCUCGAUGUUGGAUCAGGACCUCCUAAUGGUGCAGCCGCUAUUAAGGGUUCGUUUGUUCAACGAUGAAAGUCCU
rnacentral:rRNA from 1 species